rnacentral:tRNA from 1 species
GGCAACUUGGCCGAGCGGUCUAAGGCGGUAGACUCAAGUUCUACUCUCGAAAGAGGCGUGAGUUCGAAUCUCACAGUUGUCA